AAGCUGAAUAAAAUAUUUCAAAUCUCUGCCUGAAGGCACCAAAGCAGGAAGGAUUUGAAGGAUUGAGAUCUCAGGGAGAAGAGAAGCACAGAGAAGUGAUCCUGACAGCAUGCCACUUUUCCCUUUAGGACACUUGCUGAUUCACAAUACGUAGCUGACAGCCUGAGAAUCUGAGCAGAUCUUCGGACAAUCUCACAGACUGGAGGCUAAAAAUUUGAGUUUCACGGUCACCAGGAAUGAAGGUUCCCAAGAAACACCCCGGGAUUUUCAGUUGGGACCCCUGAAGGACUGUUCCCCAGGAGUAAAGCCUCAUGGACUGUAUGGACGCCAAUAGAAGAGGACCCCUGGGGGAGAUGCAUUUUACUGAGAUCUUGCACCAGUGUGGUGAGACCUGCGAGUUCAUGAUUGAAAACACACACAUCCCUCCUCAUAGCAGAGGCUAGCAGUGACCUGAGCUGCAGGGUGGGCCUCCCCAGCCAAUAUGGUGGACAUGGCAGUAGGGUAGCCACAGAUUCUGACUUCAGCCUCUACUGAUCUCUAGCCCCAUACUGAGUCUCCCUGGCACUUGAAUGGAGCACAGGUUCAAAAACAAAGGCCCUGCAGAUAUCACUUUUCAUCCUCACAGCUCAGGGGAGACCUCAAUACAAGUCUGAAGCCCAUUGUCUUGGAGGCCAGCAGGGGUGUGUGUAGGAGAGGGAGAAAUAGAAAAAGAGAGGGACAGACAACUGUCUUCCCUGACCCAGUGACAGGGCCUUUUCAUAUGGCUGAUGGGUAAGAGUUCUAGGUCACUCAGUGAUACUUUGCUGUAGGUGGUGGAAGCUGGUUAGAGAUGCUAGAUCCCAGCCAAUUUCUGGUAUGACUCACCUGGCCUCUUUGGGAUAAGGUUAGGGGAGCAGGGAGAUGAGAGGGAGGAAAAGGUGGGGACAUCCUCUAACUACAAGUAAGACUGUUGAAUCUGGCCUCUGCCCAAAAGCCCACCAGGCCCGUUCUCUACUCUCAACUCUUCCUGCCUUUCUUCCCAUUCUUUCCUCUUGGCAUGUCUUUCAUUCUGCCCACAUUGUGUCUGUAUGUCUGUAUAACUACUCUGCCUCCAGGUAGAUUUAGAUGACAGGGAUUGUGGGACAGGUAAUGCUGGGAUACUCCCUGUACUUUUGUUCGUCUAAGACAAAAACUGGAAACAGCCAAAACACUCAUAAUAGGAGACUAAUUUAAAACAUUUGAUGUAUCCAAACAGUGGAGUAAUUGUAGCCAUUAAAAAGAACAUACUGAUAGGAAAAUGCAUUCAAAAUUGAAUUGUUGAAUGAAAAAAGCAAGUAAAGCAUACUAUGUACUAUA